rnacentral:rRNA from 1 species
AGAGUUUGAUUCUGGCUCAGGAUGAACGCUGGCGGCGUGCUUAACACAUGCAAGUCGAACGGGCUUAAGAGGGGAGCUUGCUUUUCUCUUAAGUUAGUGGCGGACGGGUGAGUAACGCGUGGGUAACCUGCCCUAUGCAGGGGGGAUAACAGCUGGAAACGGCUGAUAAAACCGCAUAACACGGUAGCACCGCAUGGUGCAGCCGUCAAAUAUUCAUAGGCAUAGGAUGGGCCCGCGUCUGAUUAGCUAGUUGGUGGGGCAACGGCCUACCAAGGCGACGAUCAGUAGCCGGCCUGAGAGGGUGAACGGCCACAUUGGGACUGAGACACGGCCCAAACUCCUACGGGAGGCAGCAGUGGGGAAUAUUGGACAAUGGGGGAAACCCUGAUCCAGCGAACCGCCGCGUGAGUGAAGAAGUAUUUCGGUAUGUAAAGCUCUAUCAGCAGGGAAGAUGAUGACGGUACCUGACUAAGAAGCACCGGCUAAAUACGUGCCAGCCGCGGC